GGUUUUUAAUGGGGGAUGUGGGGUCCCUAAUGGGGUCUGCUCUGCACCUCAGGGCUAGGGCAGGAUCUCUGAUCUCUCGGAGGGGCUGCCUCUGCUGAGACUCUCACCAUGUUUCUCCUUGUUUUCCAGGCCGCCCCGUUCCCCAGCCAACAGGGCUCCUCAGUUAGAUCCUGCAGCUUCGGGGCCUGCAUUGCCCAGCGUGAUUCUCCAGCCCCAUCUCCUGGCACCUGUCCCUGUAUCUGGAGCUCUUCUCACUUUCCCUCCGUCCUCACCUGGAUCCCUGGGGAUGACUCCUCAGAGUUAGCCCUUUAUCUGCCUAAGCCUACAGCACAUCUGCACUCAGAAAUGCUACUGCUUUUGUGGGGACCUCCAGGGGACUCGUAUCUGAGACACGGGGAGCUGUAACAAUGCUGUUUGCAGCAGUUGUCACAGCCCUUUGGAUUGAGACUCCCGUGGGCCCCAACUUAAGCUAAUAUGCCCCAGGAAGGACCAGUAUCACCCUCAGCCUGAGCGGUGGAAACAUGUUGUUAAGAAAGGACAGGACGGAGGAGCCCAGUGAUACCCAGGGAACACAUGCUCUACCCUUGGGCCAGGGCGGUCCUGGGGGGUCUCUCAGCUUGUAGCCACCUUGGUGCAAUUGAGAUCUGGUAAGCCUGGCCUCGAGUCCCAGGGUGUCCCGUGGGGCUGUUGGAUAGAGGCAGGUGGGGGUUGAAUCGGGUGCAUUGAAACAUGUGCUGGAGCUUGUGCUAUUUAGUUGUUCCUGCUACUGCUCUGGAUCACUCCUUGGGGACUGGAAAGGAGCAGGUUUCUGUCCUGCUGGGGGUGAUGGUAUUUCUUACCAAUAAAUUGUCUCACCAGUG